AGGCUUCUUCUCCCUUGAUGGAACAAUGAAUUAGGGUUGAGAGGCUCCCUCCUCCAGGGGCCAGGGGGUCUGGUUUUAUAGUCCCUUCAAGUGAAUAUGGGCCAUUGGAUCAAACCGACAUAGAUUGUAUGGUUUAGAUUCAUCCUUUAGGUCGGUGGAGAUCUCCCGCAAAGCAGAGUCCUGAUUGGACUCCUGGAGGGGGCGGGCGCCCAGUAGGACAGGGCGGGCGCCCUGCCUCUGGCCCCGUUUCGCCUCCGCUUCGGUCUCGUGGCUUCUGGAGUCUUCUAGAUGUAAGAUAAUUGCGCAGCACGUUAAUAUCUUUACGUAAUCCCGACAUGUGGGCCUUUCUUCCAUAUUUCCUGAUAACCCCCUGCAGAAAUAGACAAACACCAAAACUCAUGGAAUUCUGUCAGAUAAAACCCAAGUCUAGAUCUUGAUUUCAUUUGGAUCCUUUUCUUUAUUUAUUUGAUAAUUAAAUUUGAUACUUAAGGACCGUCAACAACCAUCUCCUUCAUCUUGGCUUUGUCGUUCUCCCUUUGUAAGUCCAUCCAGGUCUACAGAGAAUUGAUAGCCGAAUGAAUCACAACAUCAGGUGUACUAGGGAAAUGUUUCUCGAUGGCCAUCUUAUUUAUAUUCUUCCAAAUCGUCCAUCACUACUACAAAAAAUCUUAACUGUGACGGGCAUUUUGGAUUUUAGGAGGCGGGCAAAAGAAACGUCUCCGAUGAAAGGUCACUAUAAAUCGACCAUUAUACGAGGCGGUUUCAUGCCUGCCUUGGUUAAUCAAAUAAAAAAAUUUAAAAAAAAAGAAAAAACCCUAAAUGAGCCCGUCAAGCCCAUCUAGGGCCCACCGAGCCCAUCCGGGUAGCUGCUCGCGGAUGCGCCUGAGGAGGAGGAUCCGCGCCGCCGCUGGAUCCGCGUGGGGAGAGCUACCGCAUGGGGAGAGCCGCUGGAUCCGCGCCGCCGCUGAAUCCGCGUGGGGAGAGCGACCGC
rnacentral:lncRNA from 1 species